rnacentral:lncRNA from 1 species
GGUUUUGUUAUUCUGGAUAGAGUGUUUUUGCACUCUAUAACUGAAUGUUUUAUGCUUCUGGUGGUUUGUUUUCUCAUAGGGUAGGUUUAGAUCUCAGCUAAAUUUUCUCAGUAGUGGUGGCGACAGGAGACUAUAUUCAUAUUGGUGUUGUUAAUUUAAUGCUUUAAGUAAAUAAUGAGCAUGUAGAUAAUUUUGAUGGACAAGUAAAUAAUGAGCAUGUAGAUAUUGGAGCCGUCAAUUUAAUGUUUUAGGUAAAUAAUGAGCAUGUAGCGAAUUUUGAUGGACAAG